UUUGAACAAUGGACACGACAACAUGUGAGCUCACUGGCCCCGCCCACAUGAUGAAACUGUCUUUUGUUGAACACACCUGAGCUGAGACACACCAGAGGAUUACACGCUGAGAGUUUACCUGGAGAUCUUAAACUGAAGCUCUGACUCGUUGAUCUGCUUUACGUCGGUAACAGUCUUCACAGGUUGAUGUAAAUAUCCCCCGUCACAAGCGUUUAGUAUCUCCUGAUGUCAACUCAAAUCUUUAUAAAAACCAGGGACUGUAAAUGAAGCAGCGGAAACAGAACAUUCCUCCAAACUUUAAGAUAAAUCCACCUCACAAAACAACGUAGAUGAUGGUGUGUGUGUUGUUUCCUCUUGUGUUGUCCGUCCUCCUGACUGAGACGUCUGCCUGUCUGUCGCCUUCAGGGGCCGAGGCGGUCACUUCAUGCCCAGCACGGUGGCUCCUGUUCGGGCAGAGAUGCUUCGUUUUCUACCCCGUGUGGAGCUCCUGGAGCAACGCUGAGACGGUGUGCACUCAGGCAGGUGGUGACCUGGCGUCUCUUCA